rnacentral:tRNA from 1 species
AGACCCUAGUUAAUUAAAUAAUACAAGCUUGUCAUGCUUGAGUUGCUGAGGCGGGUCUUA